AAUAAUAAAAUGAAAUAAGUAACAUGAAAGAAAAAAUAAGAAAAGAAAGUGGAUAAAAGAUAAUAAAGUGAAGGGAACAAAAAAAAUAGAAAGCAAUGAAAUAAUAAUCAUUAAUAAAAUGAAAACAUAUAAUCAUGAAAUAAAAAAGAAUAAAAUUACUUUUUCAAGUGUAAAAUUAAGUGAAUAAUAAAAUAAGCCAAAAGAAUAUUAAUUAAAAGAAAAGAAAGUUGGAGGAGAUGAUCUCAAAGGUCCCUUCCAGGCGAAGCCACUCCAUGGAAAUACAAUGAACGUGAAAGGAAACUCUAAACUAAAAGAUGGAUUUGAAGCAAGAAGUCCUCAAGAGGAGAAACUCUGAAUCCUCAUCUAGCAAAACUGGCAGAGAUUAACUGGUUCCUGAAUUUCGUGCUCUGGCCCUCUAAAAGAGCAGCUCAAAGAUUAUUUGUGUCAAAAUCUGGCGGCGAAGAGCGCAGCCAAUAGAGAAGCAGAGCCCAGGCUGUAUUUGCUUAUCAAAACUUCCCAGGACUUUGAAAACUUGAAGAGAAUUCACCGUGCCCAGCUCGAAACCCUGGGGGGCAGCACCCUCCGCUUUGCCUGCUGUCAUGUUGACACAGAGCAUGACACCGGUGCAAGAAGGGUCGGCGGGAGGUUGGCGUUUCCCUGGGGGGAGCAGAUGUGGUCCAGAGACGCUGCAGAUGCAGAGCUGCGCCCUGGAGGCGGUGAGCCCGAGCGCUCUCUGCUGGGACAGCCGCAAGUCACAGCUCUUGUCACCGUGCCCUGGCAUCGCCCCGUGCCACCAGCCGCGCUCUGCAACGGGGUUUGACUGCAACUUGGAGAGAGAGGAGCGAAGGCUUCACCCGCAGUGAAAAAGACUUCAGAUUUUCAUGUUAACCCAUCUGUCACUCGUGCCAGCAGGGAGUGGAGAGUGGCAGAGGGCUUAUCUUAUUCCACUUCUAUGACUCUAUUGAUCAGGCAUUGGAACCUGGGAUCCAAUCCCAGGAUCAGGCAUUGGAACCUGAUCAGGAUGCCCAGGGAGGUGGUGGAGUCACUGUUCCUGGAGGUGUUCAAGAAAGGUGGGG